CUUACCUGGUCUUGACAUCCACGGAAGUUUUCAGAGAUGAGAAUGUGCCUUCGGGAACCGUGAGACAGGUGCUGCAUGGCUGUCGUCAGCUCGUGUUGUGAAAUGUUGGGUUAAGUCCCGCAACGAGCGCAACCCUUAUCCUUUGUUGCCAGCGGUCCGGCCGGGAACUCAAAGGAGACUGCCAGUGAUAAACUGGAGGAAGGUGGGGAUGACGUCAAGUCAUCAUGGCCCUUACGACCAGGGCUACACACGUGCUACAAUGGCGCAUACAAAGAGAAGCGACCUCGCGAGAGCAAGCGGACCUCAUAAAGUGCGUCGUAGUCCGGAUUGGAGUCUGCAACUCGACUCCAUGAAGUCGGAAUCGCUAGUAAUCGUGGAUCAGAAUG
rnacentral:rRNA from 1 species